UAUUAAAGGGAGAUAAAAAGAUGCAUCUGACUGUGGAUUUCAGAGCAUUAAAUGCUGUAACUCCGCAAACAUCACCUCUUCUUGUUGAAAUGCCAGAAAUUAUGGCUGUAAUAGUACAAGGAGAUAAGUGGUUUUCAGUCAUAGAUCUAGCAAAUGCAUUCUUCUUCAGCCCCCUGGAAAAGAAGUGUUGGUAAAUGCUUGUUUUUACAUUUUAGGAGAAACAAAAUAGUUCCACAUGAGUUCUUCAAGUAUUCACAAGGUCCUGUGAUCUUUCAUCUGUGCAUCAUUCAAAUGUGGGAGAAAUUAGCCUGCACAUCCAGGAAACAUGUCUCAUCAUAUAUGGAUCAUGGCCAAAUCUGGGGGAUUCUGAGAAACAACUGUGUCAGCAAACAGGAAGUUUUGGCUGCAAUCCAACAGGAAGGAUUGAAAGUCAAUACACAAAAAGUUCAGUUAGUACAACAAGAGCUUUCAACAUCCUCAAAGGCAUCUAAUUGUUCAGGACAUACUGAGUAUCUGCACUUACAGAAAUCAAGCCUCAAGUGGAACUCCCCUGAAAGCAAGGCACCAGGAAGCCAAGAUUAGUUUUCAGAAAUUACCAUCACAGAUGGCUUCCUGCAAUACAAAGAAGGCUCCUGGCAAGGCAGUUUGCUGGAUAACAUUCGAAUUGGAUGUGAUGGAAGUAUAACCUUACAGAAACACUCAUUCACCAGCAUUUAUUUCAUUGUGUUCAGUAGCUACUUUUGCACUGGCACUGCUUUCCUCAUUCUGCACUCACAUACUAAUUUCUCUUGCAUGAAUCUUGUCUAACAGUUGUCUGCAACUGGGUGGUCUCUGUGAGAAGUGGUAAUGCUGCAGUUAGCGAGGAAAAAUGUUGUUAUAUAUAUAUUAUUUUUUAUUUUAUUUUUUUCUGGUUGAGUGGAGGAGCUGCUGCAAUGGGAUCAGGGGCUCUCUGGCUAUGUCUGCAGGAGGCAUGGGCAGUGGCGUGGGCAGCAGCAGAGGACCCUCCCUGUGCUCUGGGCACCUUAUUGCUAGGGAGAGGAUGCACACAGCUUAAUUUUCUAUAAAUCCCUUGCAUUUAUGCUGUGUGGGAUGCAAAUGUUUUUCUAGAAAGAGCCUAAAAUCAAAUUGUUUGUAUAAUAUUGGCCACACAAUAUUGCAGCUAAGUAGAAUGAGAUGCAUAGCAGGGGACUUCUUAAUGCAUCAGAUUUGAAAAUAUAUGUAAGUCUUGGCCUAGUCCAGGUUCCCAAAAAGUCAUUGUGGAUUCAGGAUGAGUUGCAGUUCAAGCGGAGGGGCUGGCCAGUCAUUAAAGUACUUCAUUCAGGUACUCUGGCUCCUUCUCCCAGACCUUUGAAGGUAUUUUAAUAUCCAUAGCACUUUAAGUGUCUUUACCAAACUUGUCAUUAGUUACCAGCAUCUCUUGAAAGGAAAAAAGAAUUUGUGGCAGUAAAAGAGCAUGGCCUUCCUGGUGAUAUUUUCUUACAUUGGAAACUGGUGUAUGAUAAUGAGCUGAGUUGCAAGUCUCGGAGUUACAGUUUUUCAUAGCAGCUCUCAUCACUCCUCGUUUGCCCAGUUCUGCCGGUCUUGCUUGCACAGAUACCAUAGUCCUGUGGAGCACCCUUGAGCAUGCAAGAUGGCUGUUUCAUGGAGAAGAUAAGUUCUGAAAGUCCAGUGAUGGUUGUACAUGCUGGCGAGCAGUAUUCACAUAUUAACAGAUUUCCACUUAAACUGGCAAAUAGGAAUGUCUAUGUUAGAAAUGCUGUGUGAAAGCUAAGGCAACAAAAGUCAAAAUGUGCAUAUGAGAAUAUGUGGUACACACAGUAUAUGUCACAAUGUUUACCAUCACUUCAAAACAUGCACCCACCCACAGUUCUUCACUAGCAGUAUCCUGGAACUUCUCCAAUUGGGAUUAGCUAUAUGCAGCAAAAGUCAAUUAAAAUCAGCCAUUAUUGUACAGAUCAUGAGAUCCAUAGUGCAAGAUACCAUGCUCAUCCCAGAUGCUCAUUAAUAGCAGUGUGUUGCAAACAAGUCCUGGGACAAUUGCAUGGGUUUUGUAUAGUUUUCUGAUUGCCUUAUUUGCUCAGUUAGCAUACAGCAUUUUCAAAUGGGUUGGAUUAAAAUUUUUAGCAAAUAGCAAAUUCCCCAGAAACACAGUCUGUUGCAUCCUGGAACUAGUGCAAAUGUAGGUCAGAGUCAGUAAAUUGGUUUAGCUAAUGAAAACAGAGAGGGGCAGAAAGAUUUGGGGAAAGAGGAAUUACGUCCACCUUGCUUGCUGGAGGAAGACCUGUUAGUGCUAGCUCACUCAGCUUCUUUUAACAAGGGGCCUGCUGCUGUACAAGACAUGGUGACUCAUAUCUGCAUCAUAUUUGUCCUACAUUUUUAGUUUGUACAGCAACCACCUGCUAAAAGAGUGGUGUGCUUGUUUGGGCUCCCUCAAUCUCUUGUGAAGCUCUUCCAUGUAGUUAAGAAAAUGUGAUUUUUAUGGGAGGUAAGGUGUGUAGGCUUGUGUACAGGAGCUCACAUAACUCUACUACUCUAAGAGUCCAGUUCAUGCCACACUUUUAUUUAAAAUGGUAUUUACUGGCCCAGUUCAGAGUAACCUGCACAAAAAUGUCCUUGAGCUGAGAUCAUUCUCCAGUGUGGGUGGAGACUUUGGUCCUUCAGGGAGAGCCAAACACAAGCAUGUAUCUCACAGCCCCCUGGUAAGGGCUCACCAGAAUUACAGACCAGCAGUGAUUCUAGCCCAUGGAAGAUCACAAACAGCUUUUGUAUUGAAAAUAAUAAUAAUAAUAAUAAUAAUAAUAAUAAUAAUAAUAAUAAUAAUAAUAACAACAUGAAACAAAGGUAUUUGUUUUAGAAAAAGUUUUCCCCACCCAUACAUGUACACAUGACACUCAUUUUUAGGGCUUAUUUAUAAAAAACAAUAAUAAUCUGUAAUAAGCACAAUUUUAUUUACAAUUAGCAGGAAUAAGUUGCUUGCUUUAAUGCCAAUGCUAGUAGCAAUGGAAGUGUACUUCUUUUUUUCUUCUUAUACUGCCUUUUUACAUUUAGUUUCAAGGUGAGAUCAGUAUCUGGAACCAUGAUGCAAUUUAUGCUGUUAUCAUUUCAUGAACUUCAGCAAAUCUGCUCCUGAUAAUGUAUUAUAAUAAUACUGAUGAUCAGAACUGGAUUUGAAAAUUCAUGAAGACUGACGUCAACUGCCACUGUCUGACCAGAUCAGAAAAUGAAAACAACUGGUUACUGGCAUCUAUUGUCAGAGGAGCUCCAACUCAAUUUUGCGCACAGUACCCCUUUAAAAGAAGCUUCCCUACUUUAAAGCCAAAUGCACUCCUCCCUGCUGUGAUGGAUUCCUUCUUUUUCCUUCCUAAUUGGAGCCAUUUCAUCAGAUCGAAUUUUGACAAAGAUAGUAAUUGUCAUCCAAUUUUAAGGCAAUGACAAGAUCAAUAUGAAUUCUCAAAUGACAAGUAUUAUUACUGGCCGAACACAAAGAAACAAAGAAAAUGAAAAAUCCAUGUUCUAGAGAUCAAAACAGUUUGAUGCACAAGCUUGCCUUGAUCCACGUGUGUGUGAAUCCUGUUGACAACAAUAGACACUGUGCAUGUGGAUGGAUGGGGUAGAACAGAUGGCCUUUGCCAGUCAAAUAGCGAAUGAAAACGAGCACCCAGUGCUUUAGUACAUUGCAGUUUCAGUAAUGUGGGAGUCAAUUAACUUACCACCAAAUAGGCUUGCGGGGAAAAUUACCCACAGCCCCAUCUCAGAGAAUUCUGCUUCUCCUUAGCAUUUUGUACUCCUUCAGCUUCCUGAAUAUCAGAAGUAAAUACUCAAGAAAAUCCCAGUUCUUUAAGGUGAAUAUAUUCAAUAUAUAUUUAUGGAGGCAGAAGUACUUGUUUAUUUUUAUAACAUUGUUUACGUGAGAUGAUUUGAUUAGUUAAUGGCCCAAAGAGUUCAGAUAGGACUCAGUUAAGGAUCUAAAAUGUGCUGCAGCAUCUUUAGAUAUUUUCCCACGGUAGUGGUUUUGGGACAGAUUCUGGCAUUUAUGCAUAAUUGUUGCCAGAUACUGUCAUUUUAUUUACCCUGGAACAAGAAACUUCUCCAAGGCAUUUGACCCUCAGAGCUCAGCUCUUGUUCCACAUUUUCUACUCAGUGUGCAUUCAAGUUACCUCCGUAGGGCUGCUAUACAUGCAUUCAUCUCUCUAGUAAACCAGACCUUCUGCUUUCCCACCCCCAAAACAUUAAAUCAAAGGAAAUAGACACUUUUCUUUUCUUUUGCAGUAUUUAUAUUCAAAAUACAGUUUAACUGGGGAAAGGGAUUUUGGCAAAAUAAUACAUGACUGUCGUACUAAUUGGCAGCUGCAAUGAUAACAACCAUGACAAGUUUUAACUCUGUCCAGUUCAACCCAGCCAAGUCAUUAAAGGUUUCCAAGCAGAGGAUUGUGUUAUGAAGCCUAAUAGACGCUGGUAGCUACAUCGGCAUCCCUGAAUUGCUAAACACAUUUUUAACCACCAUAUGCAGGUUCAGUAGGAUUUUGAUCCAUGGAGGAAGGUCUUAGCCAAGCACUGAAAAGAUGUUCGUUAGCCUCCAAAAUAUAAAUAAAAUAUUUACAAAGAGAAUAAUUGACUUUUGAUGUUUACUUCAGGCUAUGGUUAAGCAGGCAGUGUCUGUACUAAGCAAUGCAGUGACCACCUGCCACAAAUGCUGUGAUAUUUGACAGAUCCCUUUCUGCCAAGAACUAUAAUUCCUAUUUAAAUCUAAAUAGAGGAGCCAUGAAUGCAGAUUUCUCAUCACAAAGACGCUGAUGUUAAUCCCCAGUACAGAAAAAUAAGAAAAGCCAGAACGUUUUAUUGGAUUUUAUAUGGAAGAUAAUUAAACAGUAUUUCUUCUUUACUUGUUAUACAGCAUACCAUCAACAUUCCUGCUGAAAUUUGUUUAUAAAAAAAAAAAAAAAAGCCAGAAACUUUUAUUCCAUUUAUAUGUAAAAAAAAAAAAAAUUAACAAUUUGUAUAUUUGCACUUACAUCAGAAUAACAAAAAGCAGGUAAACAAAAAUGACCAAAGAAUGAUACAAACAAAUAGGAAAAAAAAAUUAGGAAGAUGCAACACUGUUCUAUAGUUUUAUAUUCUAAGCAUGCCAACAAAAUAAAUGUUUAUGUGCAUGUGUAUGUAUCAUAUAUAUUCAAGUACCAAGCAGUACUGAAAAGCUAAUCUCCCAGAAGUUAGGAAAUGCUAGAAUUACAUGUUCUUGCACACCUUUCAUUUGGCCUUUUUGCUUGUAUACACACAGACGUAUGCUAUUUUUUUCACAUACACAUCACACAAAAUGGUGCAGUGUAGGCAGAAAAUUGGCUGGCAGUAUGAUGUAAUCUCUGAAAGAGCUGCUUUGCAGAAGCCUGUUUCUUUUUUGCCCACAACCCAGUUUGGUAUUUUGGAUGUACCCAAGGAAGUUAUCUUAGCAUGUUUCCCAGCAGGUGGGUGCUGCCAAUCUGAGUCUGUAAGAGAGUGUGUCUAAGUGUGCAUUUAAAGCGGGCUUAUUAAUAGAGGGGAGGCGGGGGGCGGGGGGAGCUGUAUCCAAGGUUGCAUCCUCGGCAUUUAAAAAUGUUUCAGUUCAGCCUGUGCUGCCAUUUACUGCAUUAUGUGAUGCAUGUGGAUUUUCCAAACAAAAGAUGUUUAUGAGGAGAGUAUAUUUUAAGAUCCUUUUCAUGACUCCACAGACCCCUCUCCAAGCAGAUGGCCUGACAGUUGCAAGAAAACUAUUCAGAAGCCAAAAGUAGCAUUUAAAAUUCUUUUAAAAAGACGGUUUGUUCUCCAUACACAUCUACAGUGUAAGCAGGGACUAACUCCGCAGCAGCAUCUUCCAGCAUAUUCCAGCUCCGACAGCACAAGCGGAAGACUCACAGGCUGUGAGGUGUGCAGCCUCCCACAGCACCAGCAGCACGGCACAGGACUGCCAUGUCACCUCAGCACCCCGAUCCACUCCCUCUGAGGCUACUUUCAGCGCUGGUUCUUGUGAAGGGGACCAUUAAAAUCCAGACUCCACUCACUGGUAACUUGGAGUAAUACUGGAGGUACAAGAGUUUCUCUUUUACACUCAAAUUAGGUUAUAGCCACAAUGAAAAUGUUUACGUAGCAUUUACAAGUACAUAGAAACAAGCAGGACUAGUGAAGAACUUUCCAAGGACAUGAAUAUAUUUAAUUCCAUUCAUUCAUAGUCAGCCUUGACUGUUACCUAGCUGUAGUUGAAGUUCAUUGGGGAAAAUAACCAGCUGAGAUCAAAAUAACUAAACUUGAGCCACUUGACCAUUACUAGGUUUAUGCAUUCUGGAAGAAAUCUGUUGGCAGUGACUUCACAGAGAUGCAUUUACUGACUCUUUUAAUUGCCUGCUACUGAACCUCCUGCUUGAAGGAAGAGCACUCCCAUAUCAUACACUUGAUAAAUAAAUAAUACCAUCCCUCUGGAGAGAAAAAUUCCAUUUCUAACUAAUCUAAUCACAAGGACAAGGACUAACCAUCCUUGGGGUUUGGGGCGAUUGUUUGUAUUUGCUUUUCCUUAGCCUAAGUAACUGAGUCUUAUUGUUUGUAACAUCUAAUUCAUUUAGAAAUAUUUCUGAAAAUUUUGCCUAAUAGUCUGCAGCAGAGAGUUGCAGAGUUGUUUAUAAACUGCACAAAUGUUUGCAGAAUUUUUCCUUCACCUUUCCAUGCAUAUUUGCUCUUGAGAGAAAACAGAAUAAAUAGCCUCAUCUCUCUGCUUCUGUUAUAUCAUCUUUCACUCUUGUGUUUUGCAAACUAAACAAUGCUAGUCUUUUUAAUCACCUUUUAGAUGGAAGCCUCUUUCCUCAUGUGUUUAAUCAUCUUUUGCUGCACUUUUUUACUGCAGAGGUAACUACAUAUGAGCAUAUUCACCCCCAGAGCACUCAGUAAGUCUACUAAAAUCAAGUUUUAAGGCUUAGCAGAGGUUUUUGUCUUUGCUCCUCAAACAAUCCCUGUUCAUCUCAUUCUAAAAUCACUUUAAGAAACAGAGAUCCCCAGUGCAGGUGCAGAGAUGUGGAAGUUAAGAAGUGAGGAACAGGACAGAGAGGGCUGGAAGACUUCAUCUGGCAUUCAGCAGCGUGGCCACCAGUCCUGACUGGCUGCAGAAGUGAAGGCAGAGAGAGACUGGGACUGGGUAAGAAAUGGUGAAAAGCCUCAAGAAGCAACACACUCUCCAGGUGGGAUUAGCAUCCUCAUGAGGGUACAGUCAUGGCAGUUGUUACUUCUCUUUUGGCCAGACUCUUCUGUCUUCUGUCCUACAGAUUUUCUUUCAUCGCUUUCUGCAUCUGGAAUGCUGUGUGUGUUUCAAAGGCUAAAACUUUUGCAGGGAGAAGCCAGUAUAUUUGUCCUUUAAAGGAAAUGGUCAAGGUGUAUGCAGAUUAUCUGAGGAUCAAGCUCAAAAAUGUUUUAUGUUGGAUUCCCGUCAUCUAAUUUUAGCCUUCUGAAGCUUGAUCAUCUAAUUCAAACUUGUUGCUUAAUGUUCUCAUGCAGUCAGUAGAGAGAGGAGUUGGUUCAUCCUGUCAUAAAACAGGGGUAUGUGAUAAGAGGAAUGGUUUCCUGCUCUGAAAGUACCUCUCUUUCCUUUGGCAGAUUGGAAGAUUGCUUAGGUGUUGAGGUAAGUGAUUCCCUUUAUGGGCUGUAGUGCUGCAUAACUAAAAAAAUUCAGAAGUAUAUGCUCACAGUCCAAACAAUUUUGGUGUGAGGACAAAAGAGCUCUGGGGCACUGGAGGCUCUUUCAGACUCAGGCUUCCUUACAGGAGUGGCUGGAAAGAGCAAAUAGGGGUAGUGCAGUUACCGACCUAUUGCAAAAUAUGCUACACCAAUCAGUAAUUAGAUUUACAUUUACACUGGUGGUAUAUGGUUAUUAACAUACGUGAUAUACAAAUUGGGGCUUGGGGCUGAGGAGAGGGUGAGACUUUUUUUUUUUCCCCUCAGCUAGUUAUAACUUCUCUCUCUAAAGCUCUUAAAAAAUAGUUAAGGCACUGAACUUUCCUUUCGGUCUUAAACUUGAUUCAAAUAUAUCUUGUCCUUGGAAAGUUCUUUGUUAAUCUUGUUUGUAUUUUUUUUUAAGUGCUAUGCAAACAUUUUCAUUGUGGAUUAAUGUGCUAUUUCAAAGCAAUUGCAGUUGAGAUUUUAAGAUUGUUGUUAAUUCAGAGGAGGAAACUUCUGUUACUAUUCCGGUUCUUUGGAAACUAUUUCAUUCAGUGCCCUUUCUGAAGCUUUGCACUAGAGUGCUAAAUGAAUACUAUAAAAGGCCAUAUUAAAGAGGAUUGUAUAUAGUUGACCAGGGUUCAUACCAGGGACUCGUUUUAGAUAGUGUCUUACAUUGAAAAUACGAUUCCUCAAUUAUAGCUCCUAUUGCAAAAAUGAAAUUACCUUGAAUGCUUGGUCUAGUAGGCUUAUUUCUGAGAAUACAAUAGUAAGUGGUCAAAUUCCUCCUCACAGUAAAGCAUAUCUGAUUUUUAAAAAUGAAAUAGAGAGAGAGAUGUGAAAAGCAAAGUCAGUCACAGUAGCCAUCAGAUCAGCAAAAGGACAGCUUACACAAAGACUCUUUCCAUUUGAGUAGCCCCAAUAAUUCCAAGAUAUUCUGAAUGCUUCAAGUAGGAGUGUCUAAACUGCCUAAUGUUCUGCCAACUGAUUCAAGACACUGCAAAGAGGGUCAGAAGGCCAAAGCGAAUAUGCAGAAGCUCUUAAACACAUUCACACUAUUCACAGACAGUAAUCAAAGUGAUUUGCAAAUACAUCUUAAAAAAAUAUAACAUCUUCGAGAUCACAAUCAUAAAAAAUAAUUGAUACAAUUAGGGGACUGUUGCUGCAUUUGGUGUGGCUGCAGCAAUUUACAUUUAAUACAUUUUAAAACUUUUUUUUGUUUUGUUAUUUUCACAAGUCAUAACAUACAUCUGAUGCUUUAGGUGUGACUUCAAAGUGCAUUGGAUCUGACCGUGUGACUUUUCUUAGGACACACCAGGCCUUGGCCAGACGGCUCUGGCUGGCAAUAGUAGCAGGUUCGUCUUGGCAUUUAUUUUGUUGAGUGCCUACUGCUAAUGAAUAUGCACACAACCUCAAGGCUACCUACUGCGGUGUUCCUAAACAAUCUGCUUUUCUAAUUCCAGGAUUACAGCGCUUAAAGGCACAUAAGGAUGAUGAACAUGUGGAAAGGAUCUUAUGUCCUUACAUCCACAGGGAGUUUUGUGCCUCUGUCCUGUUGGCAUUAGUCAUGUAAACCUCUUGUUCAUCUACUUUGGGAAGACUGAUUUGUUCAGCCUUUGGUGUUUUCAGCUGUUUUUGAUGUGCUAGCUGAACUAACUCAAUGAUUGCUUGUGUGUAUGAGAAUUAAUUAUAAAUUUUGACUUUAUAAAGCAGUCUCGUGGACUCAUGCUUCAUUAGUAAUCUGAUCAGUUAGUCACUGCAAUGCAAACUGGCAUCAUUAGCACUGCAGAUACUAUAGCCAGAAGGCAGUGGAUAUUUGUGUGGUACACAAGAUGCAGAGUUUCACUAGUUCCUUGCACUGAAUUCAUAACAUCUCCCCCUUACCAGGGUAGCAUGUGAUGAGAUGAUAGAGCACAAGACUAGACAUUGAGUACCCUACUGAAAACUUGAUUUAUGACAAAGAAUCUGUCACUUUACUUUACUGGGGAAAGCAAACUACGUGGACUGCAGUGGUCUACUUGCUGGGUGUACACCUUGAGACUCCUGUGCACUCACUUUUUCAGAGCCAUAAUAAAACAUUCCAAAAGCUGUUGUUGAAAAGCAUAACCCAAAAGUGAAGUAUUUAUUUUCUUUUUUUUUAACCACUCUCUUUCUUACCUUAUGUGUAAAAUAAUUAAAAUGAUUCUUAGGAAUGCACAAAGCACUUUGAGACCCUGACCCACCACCUGCAGGAAUCUUAUUGUUUGCUAGAAAAGAAUCAUUUUUGUUUUCAAAAAAAAAAAAAGAUGACAAAGAAACAUUUCUUUCCUGUAUGCAUUAGUAAAAAGGAUUAGACAGGCUGUAAUCUUGGUCAGUCUGACUUCUACAAUUAUGGAAAAUUACAAAGAUUGAUGUUCAUUGCAAUUUAUCUUAUUGCAUAAAUUUGUACAGGAUGAAUCUUCUCUUUUGAAAUACAUAUUUCCUAAAACUAGCUUAUAUAUAAAGUGAUUUCUUUUUCUUUCUUUACCCCAUCAGAUUGACAAUAGACUAUGUAGGAAAGUGCUGAAGAACACAAAAAGAAGAAGUUGGAGCAAUUCUAAUUGUCAUGGCAAUAUCCUAGAUUUUUCAAGAAGUUCGGUUCUGUUUAGCUAGUCACUUUAAUUUUCCUUCACUAACUUGUCUCCAUUCUCUGCCACAAUGAUAAUUCUUUAUAUGACUGUCAGCCCUUUGCAUUGUGACAGCUUAAAUUAAUGUUUUGAUAUUUCUCUCUUUGUAAGAAUACAACAAAGAAGACAACUGCCAAGGAUAGGACAGAAACUGUAUGAAUGUAAAACAGACGUUGUGCACCAAUAAAGCCAGAAGGAAUAAUUUUCA